GACGAACGCUGGCGGCGUGCUUAACACAUGCAAGUCGAACGGAAAGGCCCGGCUUUUGUGGGGUGCUCGAGUGGCGAACGGGGGAGUAACACGUGAGUAACCUGCCCUUGACUUUGGGAUAACUUCAGGAAACUGGGGCUAAUACCGGAUAGGAGCUCUUGCUGCAUGGUGGGGGUUGGAAAGUUUCGGCGGUUGGGGAUGGAAUCGCGGCUUAUCGGCUUGUUGGGUGGGUAGUGGCUUACCAAGGCUUUGAAGGGUAGCCGGCCUGGGAGGUUGGCCGGCCUCAUUACUCCUGCGGUACGGCCCAGACUCGUACCUGACGCAGCGGUGGAGAGUAUUGCACAGUAGGCCGGCGCCAGAUGUGACAACGCCCCGUGCGGGAAGCCGUGCUUCGAGUUGUGAACCGCUUUCGCCUGAGACGUGGCGUGAGUGACGGUACUGGGUAAAAAAGCACCGGCUAACUACGUG
rnacentral:rRNA from 1 species